GGUAGCUCAGUGGUAGAGCACUUGCCUUGCAUGCACGAGGCCCUGGGUUCGAUUCCUCAGUACCA
rnacentral:tRNA from 1 species